CCUACGGGAGGCAGCAGUGGGGAAUAUUGCACAAUGGGGGAAACCCUGAUGCAGCGACGCCGCGUGAGUGAAGAAGUAUUUCGGUACGUAAAGCUCUAUCAGCAGGGAAGAAAAACCGGCCUUAGGGCCGCCAGACGGUACCUGACUAAGAAGCCCCGGCUAACUACGUGCCAGCAGCCGCGGGAAGACGUAGGGGGCAAGCGGUAUCCGUAUUUCCUGGGUGUAAAGGGAGCGUAGACGGCAGCGCAAGUCUGGAGGGAAAUGCCGGGGCCCAACCCCCGAACUGCUUUGGAAACUGUGCAGCUGGAGUGCAGGAGAGGUAAGCGGAAUGCGUAGUGUAGCGGUGAAAUGCGUAGAUAUUAGGAGGAACACCAGUGGCGAAGGCGGCUUACUGGACUGUAACUGACGUUGAGGCUCGAAAGCGUGGGGAGCAAACAGGAUUAGAUACCCCUGUAGUC
rnacentral:rRNA from 1 species